rnacentral:rRNA from 1 species
UGGGGAAUAUUGGACAAUGGGCGAAAGCCUGAUCCAGCCAUGCCGCGUGUGUGAAGAAGGUCUUCGGAUUGUAAAGCACUUUAAGUUGGGAGGAAGGGCAGUUACCUAAUACGUAUCUGUUUUGACGUUACCGACAGAAUAAGCACCGGCUAACUCUGUGCCAACAGCCGCGGUAAUACAGAGGGUGCAAGCGUUAAUCGGAAUUACUGGGCGUAAAGCGCGCGUAGGUGGUUUGUUAAGUUGGAUGUGAAAUCCCCGGGCUCAACCUGGGAACUGCAUCCAAAACUGGCAAGCUAGAGUAUGGUAGAGGGUGGUGGAAUUUCCUGUGUAGCGGUGAAAUGCGUAGAUAUAGGAAGGAACACCAGUGGCGAAGGCGACCACCUGGACUGAUACUGACACUGAGGUGCGAAAGCGUGGGGAGCAAACAGGAUUAGAUACCCAUGUAGUCCCUGAGCGGGCUGGCAAGGCGCAU